rnacentral:rRNA from 1 species
GAUGAACGCUGGCGGCGUGCCUAACACAUGCAAGUCGAACGGACAGACGAGUAGCUUUUUCCUCUGACGUUAGCGGCGGACGGGUGGGUAACAAGUGGAUAACCACCUUCUAAGUCUUGGUGAACUACGGGAAGCCGGUGCUACUACUGCCUAAUAUAUUGAACCGCUUGCUUCAAUGGUGUAAGACAGUUUUGCUGUCACUUGUAGAUGGAUCCGCGCCGCAUUAGCUAGUUGGUAAGGUAACGGCCUACCAAGGCGACGAUGCGUAGCCGACCUGAGAGGAUGAUCGGCCACACUGGAACUGAGACACGGUCCAGACUCCUACGGGAGGCAGCAGUAGGGAAUAUUACGCAAUGGGCGGAAGCCUGACGGAGCAACGCCGCGUGGGUGAUGAAGGUCUUCGGAUCGUAAAGCUCUGUUAUUGGGAAAGAACAACUGUGGAAUUAUCUGUGGAUGUCUUGACGGUACCUAAAGAGGAAGCCCCGGCUAACUACGUG